ACAAGCGGUGGAUGAUGUGGUUAAUUUCGAUGCAACGCGAAAACCUUAACCCAACCUUUGACAUGUACGGAAUCCUUUAGAGAUAGAGGAGUGCUCGAAAGAGAACCGUAACACAGGUGCUGCAUGGCUGUCGUCAGCUCGUGUCGUGAGAUGUUGGGUUAAGUCCCGCAACGAGCGCAACCCUUGUCAUUAGUUGCUACAUUCAGUUGGGCACUCUAAUGAGACUGCCGGUGACAAACCGGAGGAAGGUGGGGAGUGACGUCAAGUCCUCAUGGCCCUUAUAGGUGGGGCGUACACACGUCAUACAAUGGAUGGUACAAAGGGUCGCCAACCCGCGAGGGGGGAGCCAAUCCCAUAAAGCCAUUCGUAGUCCGGAUCGCAGUCUGCAACUCGACUGCGUGAAGUCGGAAUCGCUAGUAAUCGUGGAUCAGAAUGUCACGGUGAAUACGUUCCCGGGUCUU
rnacentral:rRNA from 1 species